UACGUAGGGUGCAAGCGUUGUCCGGAAUUAUUGGGCGUAAAGAGCUUGUAGGCGGUUUGUCGCGUCUGCUGUGAAAUUUCGGGGCUCAACCCCGAACUUGCAGUGGGUACGGCAGACUAGAGUGUGGUAGGGGAGACGUGAAUUCCUGGUGUAGCGGUCGAAAUGCGCAGAUAUCAGGAGGAACACCAAUGGCGAAGGCAGCUCGCUGGGAACGGAACUGACGCUGAGGCGCGAAAAGCG
rnacentral:rRNA from 1 species